rnacentral:rRNA from 1 species
CCUACGGGUGGCAGCAGUGGGGGAUAUUGGACAAUGGGGGAAACCCUGAUCCAGCGACGCCGCGUGAGUGAAGAAGUAUUUCGGUAUGUAAAGCUCUAUCAGCAGGGAAGAAAGACAUGACGGUACCUGAGUCAGAAGCCCCGGCUAACUACGUGCCAGCAGCCGCGGUAAUACGUAGGGGGCAAGCGUUAUCCGGAAUUACUGGGUGUAAAGGGAGCGUAGACGGUAAUGCAAGUCUGGAGUGAAAGGCGGGGGCCCAACCCCCGGACUGCUCUGGAAACUGUGUAACUGGAGUGCAGGGGAGGCAGGCGGAAUUCCUAGUGUAGCGGUGAAAUGCGUAGAUAUUAGGAGGAACACCAGUGGCGAAGGCGGCCUGCUGGACUGUAACUGACGUUGAGGCUCGAAAGCGUGGGGAGCAAACAGGAUUAGAUACCCGAGUAGUC